rnacentral:rRNA from 1 species
AGCAAUUAUACCGUGAAACUGCGAAUGGCUCAUUAAAUCAGUUAUCGUUUAUUUGAUAGUACCUUACUACUUGGAUACCCGUGGUAAUUCUAGAGCUAAUACAUGCAAAAAACCCCGACUUCUGAAGGGGUGUAUUUAUUAGAUAAAAAACCAAUGCCCUUCGGGGCUCUUUGGUGAUUCAUAAUAACUUAACGGAUCGCAUGGCCUUGCGCUGGCGACGGUUCAUUCAAAUUUCUGCCCUAUCAACUUUCGAUGGUAAGGUAUUGGCUUACCAUGGUUUCAACGGGUAACGGGUUUUUAGGGAAAGACUCCGGAGAGGCAGCCUGAGAAACGGCUACCACAUCCAAGGAAGGCAGCAGGCGCGCAAAUUACCCAAUCCUGAUACAGGGAGGUAGUGACAAUAAAUACUGAUACAGGGCUCUUUUGGGUCUUGUAAUCGGAAUGAGUACAAUUUAAAUACCUUAACGAGGAACAAUUGGAGGGCAAGUCUGGUGCCAGCAGCCGCGGUAAUUCCAGCUCCAAUAGCGUAUAUUAAAGUUGUUGCAGUUAAAAAGCUCGUAGUUGAACCUUGGGCCUGGCUGAUCGGUCCGCCUCACCGCGUGUACUGGUUCGGCUGGGCCUUUCCUUCUGGAGAACCGCAUGCCCUUCACUGGGUGUGUCGGGGAACCAGGACUUUUACUUUGAGAAAAUUAGAGUGUUCAAAGCAGGCCUUUGCUCGAAUACGUUAGCAUGGAAUAAUAGAAUAGGACGUGCGGUCCUAUUUUGUUGGUUUCUAGAACCGCCGUAAUGAUUAAUAGGGAUAGUCGGGGGCGUCAGUAUUCAAUUGUCAGAGGUGAAAUUCUUGGAUCUAUUGAAGACUAACUACUGCGAAAGCAUUCGCCAAGGAUGUUUUCAUUAAUCAGUGAACGAAAGUUAGGGGAUCGAAGACGAUCAGAUACCGUCGUAGUCUUAACCGUAAACUAUGCCGACUAGGGAUCGGGCGAUGUUUCUUUCUUGACUCGCUCGGCACCUUACGAGAAAUCAUAAGUUUUUGGGUUCUGGGGGGAGUAUGGUCGCAAGGCUGAAA